rnacentral:lncRNA from 1 species
UAUAUAUAUAUACAGAUCAUGUACGUAACAAAAGCUUUACAACACAAUACAACUAAGUCAAGCACAACUCUAACUUUAUACACAACUAUUACAUCUCUUUAAAAUUUACAUGUCCACUCUAUACUAUUACAAGCUCUUUUACUCUUUCUGUACUCUGCUGGACUGUCCCUGUACACUGUACACUGAACCUGCAAAACUGGGGUUAAGGGAGUGGGAUGAGCUCUAUAGCCCAGUGAGUAGAACAGUAAAACAUUUCAGUAAAAUAUGAUCUCAUGGAAUGCGUCAUAACACAAACAAUCCACAUCAAAGAUAAACCUGUCACCACAUAGUCCCAGUAACUCUGUGCCAGGGCGUAGAAUCGAGCACCUGGUCUUCCUGUGAUAUAUGUAUAUGUGUAUAUAACACCUCUGUACUUACCAUUGCCAGGGCGUAGUCAAAGGCUCCUAGACUUUACUAUAUACCUGCCAGGGCGUAGUCAAAGGCUCCUGGACUUCUCUAUACCUGCCAGGGCGUAGUCAAAGGCUCAUGGACUUCCUGUCUGGAACUAUUGGAUCAUUCAGCAUUUACCCACACCAACAAUGUAGCUAUACAAUGCAACAUCUUUGUGAGUUCUAAUGCAAUCAACCUAUUGCAUAAACAUGAUGCAUGAAAAAUGCUAAAAGCCGUUAAUGUCUGUCUUAAAAUGAGUUAUAAGUUUAGUUCCACUCACCUUUGGCUCUCUGGACUGACUGACUGUGCAAGCUCUGAAACUCUGAGCAGGACUCACUACUGCUCUCUCUGGUUCCUCUGGUCUGUAUAGGUACAGAUAAACUCAAAUGAGGGACCAAACUAGCU